CACAGAGUAAAUAUUAUCCAUCAACCACUGUUCAGAGAUAACCACUGCUAGCGUUUGGGUGAUAAGGUCUACAGUUUUGUUUUGUUUUUUUUGCGGUACGCGGGCCUCUCACUGUUGUGGCCUCUCCCGUUGAGGAGCACAGGCUCAGCGGCCACGGCUCACGGGCCCAGCCGCUCCGCGGCAUGUGGGAUCUUCCCAGACCGGGGCACGAACCCGUGUCCCCUGCAUCGGCAGGCGGACUCUCAACCACUGCGCCACCAGGGAAGCCCGGUCUACAGUUUUUUUUUCCAUGAAGGGAAGGCCCAGGAAGGCCUUGAGCACCUGCUGCCUCCACCCCUCCUGAGCGAAGGCCCCAACACCUCACUGAUGGGCUCAGAGCCCCCCUGUAACUUCUCCACUGCUGCCCACCGGUGCAACGUGGGUGGCUUGCAGGCUGCAGUGAUCAUCGUCCCGACCCUGCUCUCCUCGUCCACUCUGCUGGUCAUAAGCUGCAUCUUAUGGAAGACCUGCCGUCGGUGGUCUCGGGUCACCCGCCCCAGCCUGCCAUCCACACGAGGGGCCCAGUGAAGUCUUCUCUGAAUGCUCCUGCCCACACCUCACCUCCAAUCCUGAAGUAUGAAAGACAGGAAUAUUCGCUCAAUCUAGGUGACCAACAUUAUUUGAGAUGGUGGCUUUUCCAUCACCCUGGGUUUCUGAUUAUGAAAAGCAGAGCCUUCUGUUGACCCACGAUGUUCAAGUUGUGCGAGCAAGAAAUAAAUCUUUCUUCGUUGUAUUAAAGCUUAAAAUGCCUCCCUCUGCUGCGGCCUCUCCCGUUGCGGAGCACAGGCUCCGGACGCGCAGGCUCAGCGGCCA